rnacentral:rRNA from 1 species
UACAUGUGGGGCAAGCGUUGUUCGGAAUUACUGGGCAUAAAGGGUGCGUAGGCGGCUUGUUAAGUCAGAGGUGAAAGUUUUCGGCCCAACCGGAAAAUUGCCUUUGAUACUGGCGAGCUUGAGUGCGUGAGGGGUAACCGGAACGAGUCGUGUAGCGGUGAAAUGCGCAGAUAUCAGGAGGAACACCGAUGGCGAAGGCAGGUCUCUGGGCCACUACUGACGCUGAGAAGCGAAAGCAUGGGGGAGCGAACAGG